GAUGAACGCUAGCGGCAGGCUUAAUACAUGCAAGUCGUGGGGCAGCAUGAAUGUAGCAAUACAUUUGAUGGCGACCGGCAAACGGGUGCGGAACACGUACACAACCUUCCUAUAAGUGGGGAAUAGCCCAGAGAAAUUUGGAUUAAUACCCCGUAACAUAACGAUGUGGCAUCACAUUGUUAUUAUAGCUUCGGCGCUUAUUGAUGGGUGUGCGGCUGAUUAGAUAGUUGGCGGGGUAACGGCCCACCAAGUCUACGAUCAGUAGCUGAUGUGAGAGCAUGAUCAGCCACACGGGCACUGAGACACGGGCCCGACUCCUACGGGAGGCAGCAGUAAGGAAUAUUGGUCAAUGGACGCAAGUCUGAACCAGCCAUGCCGCGUGAAGGAUUAAGGCCCUCUGGAUUGUAAACUUCUUUUAUCUGGGACGAAAAAAGGCUUUUCUAAGUCACUUGACGGUACCAGAUGAAUAAGCACCGGCUAACUCCGUGCCAGCCGCCGCGGUAAAAC
rnacentral:rRNA from 1 species